rnacentral:rRNA from 1 species
AUUGAACGCUGGCGGCAUGCCUUACACAUGCAAGUCGAACGAGUGGCGGACGGGUGAGUAAUGUCUGGGAAACUGCCUGAUGGCGGGGGAUAACUACUGGAAAGGGUAGCUAAUAACGCAUACAAUCAGAGGUGACCAGAUGGGAUUAGCUAGUUUGUGGGGUAACGGCUCACCAAGGCGCCGAUCCCUAGCGGGUCUGAGAGGAGGACCAGCAACACUGGGACUGAGACACGGCCCAGACUCCUACGGGAGGAAGCAGUGGGGAAUUUUGCACAAUGGGCGCAAGCCUGAUGCAGCCAUGCCGCGUGUAUGAAGAAGGCCUUCGGGUUGUAAAGUACUUUCAGCAGGGAGGCGUUACCCGCAGAAUAAGCACCGGCUAACUCCGUGCCAGCAGCCGCGGUAAUAC